rnacentral:rRNA from 1 species
GUGUCAGCAGCCGCGGUAAGACGAACCGUACAAACGUUAUUCGGAAUCACUGGGCUUAAAGGGUGCGUAGGCUGUCCGGUAAGUUGGGUGUGAAAGCCCUCGGCUCAACCGAGGAAUUGCGCUCAAUACUGCCGGACUUGAGGAAGACAGAGGUGAGCGGAACUUAGGGUGGAGCGGUGAAAUGCGUUGAUAUCCUAAGGAACACCUGGGGCGAAAGCGGCUCACUGGGUCUUCUCUGACGCUGAGGCACGAAAGCUAGGGUAGCGAACGGGAUUAGAUACCCCGGUAGUCCUAGCCGUAAACGAUGAGCACUAGAUCGAAGGGUCCUCCAUAGCCUUUUGGUCGUAGCGAAAGUGUUAAGUGCUCCGCCUGGGGAGUAUGGUCGCAAGGCUGAA